AUGACUGCACCUAAGUCUAGUACUUGGGUGUAGCCAUAAAUGUUAUGCCUACCUCUAUUUAUGAGAGUUUGGGUAUUCAUGCCUUGAAAGACACCAGUGUUGUGUUAGGUCUAGCUGAUAGGACUGUGAGACACCCCAAG